rnacentral:rRNA from 1 species
UACGUAGGGUCCGAGCGUUGUCCGGAAUUACUGGACGUAAAGAGCUCGUAGGUGGUUUGUCGCGUUGUUCGUGAAAACUCACAGCUUAACUGUGGGCGUGCGGGCGAUACGGGCAGACUGGAGUACUGCAGGGGAGACUGGAAUUCCUGGUGUAGCGGUGGAAUGCGCAGAUAUCAGGAGGAACACCGGUGGCGAAGGCGGGUCUCUGGGCAGUAACUGACGCUGAGGAGCGAAAGCGUGGGGAGCGAACAGG